rnacentral:rRNA from 1 species
GGCGAACGGGUGAGUAAUGCAUCGGAACGUCUCCUAUUGUGGGGGAUAACCACUCGAAAGAUUGGCUAAUACCGCAUGAGAUCGAGAGAUGAAGCGGGGGACCGCAAGGCCUCGCGCGAUAGGAGCGGCCGAUGCCGGAUUAGCUAGUUGGGGGGUAACGGCCCACCAAGGCGACGAUCCGUAGCUGGACUGAGACGAUGAUCAGCCACACUGGGACUGAGACACGGCCAAGACUCCUACGGGAGGCAGCAGUGGGGAAUUUUGGACAAUGGGCGCAAGCCUGAUCCAGCCAUGCCGCGUGUGAUGAAGAAGGCCUUCGGGUUGUAAAGCACUUUCGGACGGACGAAAUCGCGCGGGUGAAUAAUCCGCGUGGAUGACGGUACCGUAAGAAGAAGCACAGGCUAACUACGUGCCAGCAGCCGCGGUAAUACGUAGGGUGCAAGCGUUAAUCGGAAUACUGGGCGUAAAGGGUGCGCAGGCGGCAUCGCAUGUCAGAUGUGAAAUCCCCGAGCUUAACUUGGGAAUUGCUUUGAAACUACCGAGGCUGGAGUGCGGCAGAGGUGAGGUGGAAUUCCACGUGUAGCGGUGAAAUGCGUAGAGAUGUGGAGGAACACCGAUGGCGAAGGCAGCCUC